GUGCUCGCUUCGGCAGCACGUAUACUAACAUUGGGACGACAGAGAAGAUCAGCAUGGCCCCUGUGCAAGGAUGACACGCAAAUUCGUGAAGUGUUCCAUAUUUUU
ensembl:snRNA U6 U6 spliceosomal RNA